rnacentral:rRNA from 1 species
AAACUAACAAGGAUUCCCCUAGUAACUGCGAGUGAAGCGGGAAAAGCUCAAAUUUAAAAUCUGGCGGUUGCACCGUCCGAGUUGUAAUCUGGAGAAGCGUUUUCCGUGUUGGACCGUGUACAAGUCCCUUGGAACGGGGCGUCAUAGAGGGUGAGAAUCCCGUCCAUGACACGGACUGCCAAUGCUUUGUGAUACGCUCUCGAAGAGUCGAGUUGUUUGGGAAUGCAGCUCAAAAUGGGUGGUAAAUUCCAUCUAAAGCUAAAUAUUGGCGAGAGACCGAUAGCGAACAAGUACCGUGAGGGAAAGAUGAAAAGCACUUUGGAAAGAGAGUUAAACAGUACGUGAAAUUGUUGAAAGGGAAACGCUUGGAGUCAGUCGCGUCUGUCGAGACUCAGCCUUGCCUUCGGGCUUGGUGUACUUCUCGGCCUGACGGGCCAACAUCGAUUUCGAACGGCGGAUAAAGGUCUGGGGAAGGUGGCACCUUCGGGUGUGUUAUAGCCCCCUCUCCGUAUACGCUGUCUGGGAUCGAGGACCGCAGCACGCCCUUGUGGCUGGGGCCCUUUGCCCAGAUAACGUGCUUAGGAUGUUGGCGUAAUGGCUUUAAGCGACCCGUCUUGAAACACGGACCAAGGAGUCUAACAUGCCCGCGAGUGUUAGGGUGUAAAACCCUUGCGCGUAAUGAAAGUGAAAGUUGGGACCUCUGUCGAGGAGGGCACCGACGCCCGGCCCUGAACUCUUGUGACGGUGCUGCGGUAGAGCGUGUAUGUUGGGACCCGAAAGAUGGUGAACUAUGCCUGAAUAGGGCGAAGCCAGAGGAAACUCUGGUGGAGGCUCGUAGCGAUUCUGACGUGCAAAUCGAUCGUCAAAUUUGGGUAUAGGGGCGAAAGACUAAUCGAACCNNNNNNNNNNNNNNNNNNNNN